UACGUAGGGGGCAAGCGUUGUCCGGAUUUAUUGGGCGUAAAGAGCGUGUAGGCGGCCAAGCAGGUCCGCUGUGAAAACUCGAGGCUCAACCUCGAGACGUCGGUGGAAACCGUUUGGCUAGAGUCCGGAAGAGGAGAGUGGAAUUCCCGGUGUAGCGGUGAAAUGCGCAGAUAUCGGGAAGAACACCCGUGGCGAAGGCGGCUCUCUGGGACGGUACUGACGCGUGAGACGGCGAAAGCGUGGGGAGCGAACAGG
rnacentral:rRNA from 1 species